rnacentral:piRNA from 1 species
UGUGUGCUCAGGGAACUUGGCUUUGUGG